UGAGCAAUCUGCCCUUCUCAUCGGAAUAAGCGUUGGAAACGACGUCUAAUGCCGAAUACGACCUCCUUUCGCAUGAUCGGAGGUGGAAAGCUCCGGCGGAGAAGGAUGAGCUCGCAGCCUAUCAGCUAGUUGGUGUGGGUAAUGGCCCACAAGGCGACGACGGGUAGUCGGCCUGAGAGGGUGACCCGGCCACACGUGGGACUGAGACACGGCCAGACU
rnacentral:rRNA from 1 species